rnacentral:lncRNA from 1 species
AUGAAUUGUAGCAUAUCAAAUGCACAAUAUCUCUAAUCUCACAAUAUGAUGAAAGCGGAGCAAUACGAAAGUUUCCUUACUGAAUAUAUAACGAACUCUGGAGCGGAAUUGUUGAAUAAAGACCCAACAGAAAGGGUUGAAGCUAAAAUGAAUAAAUUACUUAAGCACGAAAAAUUCCCAAGGAUAUGGAAAGUAAGAAAACACGAAGGACCUUUGUGUCCAAGGCUUUUUGCAUAUAUCAAGGUCCACAAAGUACCAGUACAUUAUCGGCCUAUAGUAGAAAAGGAGUACGCCCCAACGUACCAUCUAGAGCAAGCCAUUGCUAGCUGGUGUAAU